CCUACGGGCGGCAGCAGUGGGGAAUAUUGGGCAAUGGGCGCAAGCCUGACCCAGCAACGCCGCGUGAAGGAAGAAGGCUUUCGGGUUGUAAACUUCUUUUAAGAGGGAAGAGCAGAAGACGGUACCUCUUGAAUAAGCCACGGCUAACUACGUGCCAGCAGCUGCGGUAAUACGUAGGUGGCAAGUGUUGUCCGGAUUUACUGGGUGUAAAGGGCGUGCAGCCGGGAAGACAAGUCAGAUGUGAAAUCCCGCGGCUCAACCGGGGAACUGCAUUUGAAACUGUUUUUCUUGAGUACCGGAGAGGUCAUCGGAAUUCGUUGUGUAGCGGUGAAAUGCGUAGAUAUAAGGAAGAACACCAGUGGCGAAGGCAGAUGACUGGACGGCAACUGACGGUGAGGCGCGAAAGCGUGGGGAGCAAACAGGAUUAGAUACCCCAGUAGUC
rnacentral:rRNA from 1 species